AUUGAACGCUGGCGGCAGGCCUAACACAUGCAAGUCGAACGAGUGGCGGACGGGUGAGUAAUGUCUGGGAAACUGCCUGAUGGAGGGGGAUAAAUACUGGAAACGGUAGCUAAUACCGCAUACCAGUGGAUGUGCCCAGAUGGGAUUAGCUAGUAGGUGGGGUAACGGCUCACCUAGGCGACGAUCCCUAGCUGGUCUGAGAGGAUGACCGACCCCACUGGAACUGAGACACGGUCCAGGCUCCUCCGGGAGGAAGCAGUGGGGAAUAUUGCCCAAUGGGCGCAAGCCUGAUGCAGCCAUGCCGCGUGUAUGAAGAAGGCCUUCGGGUUGUAAAGUACUUUCAGCGGGGAGGCGUUACCCGCAGAAGAAGCACCGGCUAACUCCGUGCCAGCAGCCGCGGUAAUUC
rnacentral:rRNA from 1 species